GACCCCAGGUCAGGCGGGACUACCCGCUGAGUUUAAGCAUAUCAAUA
rnacentral:rRNA from 1 species